rnacentral:rRNA from 1 species
UGGGAACAAGGCUGGCCGGUUAACUGCCGGUCAGUUGAUAGUACCAGAAGAGGAAGAGACGGCUAACUCUGUGCCAGCAGCCGCGGUAAUACAGAGGUCUCAAGCGUUGUUCGGAUUCAUUGGGCGUAAAGGGUGCGUAGGUGGCGCGCUAAGUCGGGUGUGAAAUUUCGGAGCUUAACUCCGAAACUGCAUUCGAUACUGGCGUGCUUGAGGACUGGAGAGGAGACUGGAAUUCACGGUGUAGCAGUGAAAUGCGUAGAGAUCAUGAGGAAGACCAGUGGCGAAGGCGGGUCUCUGGACAGUUCCUGACACUGAGACACGAAGGCCAGGGGAGCAAACGGGAUUAGAUACCCCGGUAGUCCUGGCAGUAAACGGUGCACGUUUGGUGUGGGAGGAUUCGACCCCUUCUGCGCCGGAGCUAACGCGUUAAACGUGCCGCCUGGGGAGUACGGUCGCAAGAUUAAAACUCAAAGAAAUUGACGGGGGCCCGCACAAGCGGUGGAGUAUGUGGCUUAAUUCGAUGCAACGCGAAGAACCUUACCUGGCCUUGACAUGCAUUGUGUCGGCGGUGAAAGCCGCCUAGCCCCGAAAGGGGCGCCUUGCACAGGUGCUGCAUGGCU